CCAGAACAUCCCAGUUGCACCAGGCGAUGCAAGACACAUGGCAGUCUGGCCUGAAGUUUCCCAAAACAGGCUGACUAGGGGCCUACUGCUUCCCAACUACCAGCUGAGGGGGUCCGUCCCGAAAAGGGAGAAGAGGCCUAAGAGGAAACAUCAACAUCUUUUUACUCCUAGCGAGCGGCAUUCUGUGUGCCUUGAUUGUCUUCUGGAAAUAUCGCUUUCAGGGAAACAAUGGCGAAAUGUCAUCAGUUUCAACUGCUUUUGCACUACUAAGACGCUUUUCUGGGUUAAUUAGCAGCAAUACAGACAACGAUCUUUUAUUCAACAACCUCUCUCGAGAUAUUUUAAAUAAUUUCUCACACUCGAAAAACAUGCAGAAGCGACUAUUGGCAAACCUGAAGAGGGUGGAAUACCAAAUGGCUGAACUGGAAUAUUUUCUAGUUAGCGAGGGUUUGAGAGGUGCGUCAGGUCUCCAGAAAUUCACCUCAAAAGCGUACAGGAUGUAAUGCCAGUGGUGGAAAUCAUUAAAGACACUUUGAGUAGAUUCAUUUGAUUGUGUGUUUAUACUAAAUGAAUUAUUUUUUAAGAGGGAGG
rnacentral:lncRNA from 1 species